rnacentral:misc_RNA from 1 species
UCCGGCUUGUCGCCGGCGGUCCCUCUAGAGUGCCCAACUGAAUGAUGGCAACUAAAGGCGAGGGUUGCGCUCGUUGCGGGACUUAACCCAACAUCUCACGACACGAGCUGACGACAGCCAUGCAGCACCUGUCUCUGCGUCCCUUGCGGGAAAACUCCUGUUAAGGAGCGGUCGCAGGAUGUCAAACCCUGGUAAGGUUCUUCGCGUUGCCUCGAAUUAAACCACAUGCUCCGCUGCUUGUGCGGGUCCCCGUCAAUUCCUUUGAGUUUUAGCCUUGCGGCCGUACUCCCCAGGCGGGGCACUUAAUGCGUUAGCGCCGGCACGGGGGGAGUCGACACCCCCCACACCUAGCGCCCAUCGUUUACGGCGUGGACUAC